CCUACGGGAGGCAGCAGUAGGGAAUAUUGCUCAAUGGAGGAAACUCUGACGCAGCAACGCCGCGUGGAGGAUGAAGGUUUUCGGAUUGUAAACUCCUUUUGUUAGAGACGAUAAUGACGGUAUCUAACGAAUAAUCAACGGCUAACUCCGUGCCAGCAGCCGCGGUAAUACGGCGGGUGCAAGCGUUACUCGGCAUCACUGGGCGUAAAGAGCGCGUAGGCGGGAUAGCAAGUCAGAUGUGAAAUCCUAUGGCUUAACCAUAGCACUGCAUUUGAAACUGGUAUUCUAGAGUAUGGGAGAGGUAGGUGGAAUUCGUGGUGUAGGGGUGAAAUGCGUAGAGAUCAAGAAGAAUAC
rnacentral:rRNA from 1 species